rnacentral:rRNA from 1 species
AUCUACGACCAUACCAUUCUUAUCCUGGAAGCUAAGCAGGGUAGGACUUGGCCAGUACUUAGAUGAAAGACUGCCUGGGAAUACCAGCCGCUGUAGGCU